GGAGGAUGUUGGUUUGGAGAAGAACGGCUCCUUGACUGAUGACAAGAAGGUAAUUAACUGCUAUAUGAUGGUUUGGAGAAGAACGGCUCCUUGAUUUUUUGAUAAUCGUAGGCAUACUGCUAUAUGAUGCAAGCUGUUGACUUUCCUGCUGAUAUGCUACUUUUACACAAUUGCUUGAGAUAUAUGCAUCUUACUGGGUUGCAUACGUUAGUGCUGGACACUCAGUGGCGUUGGAGUAGCUUAGUACUGCACAAUUCAGGGUAGCACUUCGUCAGGUUUUAUGUUAUCUUGUUAGUUAUAACAUGCACGCCUCUCCUCAUCCUCGCGUGGAGCAGCAACACAUCCUAAUGCAGUCUCCCGCUUAUCUCCGGAAUUGUGCAGCAAUGGAUGGCAGGGCGACAAGCGGACGUCGGACAACCGUCAUCGACAUGUUGAUAGCAGAAGCCGCCAACGCCAGGAAGAAAUUGCAAGAAGUGCACUUGGUAAUUCACUCGUUUGUUAUCUCUCUCCCUCCCUCUAUUCGUCUCUGGGCUUUGGUACUGAGUUUUUUUUUCUGAUUUUAGUUGGUGUUGCCUUGAAAGGAAGGCAAAUGUGAGCAGGAAGAUGAGGCGGGAGGCGUCCUAUGUAGAGUUCCUUCUUGUUGCGAAUUGGAAGCUCGUCGGUGAGAAUCCCUCAUUUUUGGUCAUGAUAUUGUAGAUCCGGACUUCUCUUCAUCCAUCUCCAACCACUAGCAUGAUUUAGGUUUGUGUCUUGCUUUACUUGUUGAUGCAUAAUUACAUAUUGUACUUUAUUUUCCCAUGGUAGGUUCGGCUAAGAUUGUCGGUUGUGCUUAUAUACAGAAAAGGAUCCAAGGAUUCACAGAAGUUGAUGCGAUCUCAAAUGAAUUUAGAGUUUCAAAGUUUGAGAUUCUAGGAUGGAAAAAGAUAUAGUGAGUGAAGUUAACCACUCAGUCCAAUCUGGUGCUACAUUUAUAUUUGACUAUGGUUUGUUCUACUGGAAUUAGAGACUGAGCAUGAACCUAUCAGAUUUGAUUUUCGUUUUCAAGAGAAGGAGAUGUUAUCUAUGACAUAUUUGUUGGUAUUGGCUGAAUUUCUACCGCAGUUAUACAAAAAGUAUCUGUUGUAUAUGCAAAUGAACAAACACUGUUUAUUAUCCAAGGACAAAUGCAAAAAUCGAAUGUGUGCAAGUGUUGUUUUGGAUUAUAUGCACAUGUUCAUAUCUGAUUUCGCAUAGGAUUUGAGAACACUAUAUGUAAAAGACGACACAUUUUCCUUCAGAAAGAAAUGGGUAGAUUUUGCAUUUAAAGUUUGUGAAUCGUUAUGGAGGGCGCUCAAUAUGUGUUAUAGAAGAUGCUGAUACGAUGACUCUCACACAGUUG
rnacentral:lncRNA from 1 species